UCGAUGGCUGAGAUAGGCUCAUUCAAAUCGAGAUUGUCCCAGAUCCUGACACAUGGCAAUGUCUGAAUCGAUCGUCGUUCAGAUCUUUUGAUGCACCUACCACUAGAUUGAGACACAUGGACACAAUCUGCAUGAAUUGAUAGGAGCCAACAAUCGUCGAACAUAUGGCAGCUCUCGACUGACUGAAAUCAAAUCAAAUCAGAUCGUUCCGCCGUCC
rnacentral:lncRNA from 1 species